rnacentral:rRNA from 1 species
AGUCGAACGAUGAAGCUCGGGGUGGAUUAGUGGCGCGGGUGAGUAACACGUGGGCAAUCUGCCCUUCACUCUGGGACAAGCCCUGGAAACGGGGUCUAAUACGAUACGACGCGCUCGGGCAUCCGAUGUGCGUGGAAAGCUCCGGCGGUGAAGGAUGAGCCCGCGGCCUAGCUUGUUGGUGAGGUAACGGCUCACCAAGGCGACGACGGUAGCGGCCUGAGAGGGCGACCGGCCCUGGGACUGAGACACGGCCCAGACUCCUACGAGGCAGCAGUGGGGAUAUUGCACAAUGGGCGAACUGAUGCAGCGACGCCGCGUGAGGGAUGACGGCCUUCGGGUUGUAAACCUCUUCAGCAGAGAGCAAGUGACGGUACCUGCAGAAGAAGCGCGGCUAACUACGUGCCAGCAGCCGCGGUAAUACGUAGGGCGAGCGUUGU